rnacentral:lncRNA from 1 species
AAAGUUAUAUCUAAACUAAUUGUUGAAGAAUAAUUCCGUUCAGAAACUUAAUGCCCAAAUACCAGACAAAAAUUCAGUAGGAUUAGAUUAAAUAUUUCAUAAUAAGUUGAUCUAAGUGACAUAGUUCUUUUUUUUAAAUUAGAUCUAUACCAUUUCACACAGUCUAUAUUCAUACCCUUUGUUUUGCAGAUAUGAGAGAAUCCGUGAACAAUUCAGAUUUAUGUAAUUAUCUCCCUUCUGUCCUCAAAAACUAUAAAGUAUAUUGGUGAAAACCUCGUGUUCGUGGUAAAUUGAGCCACGACAAAUAAAGGGAGCUUAUCGUAGUUAUAACGUUAUCGAGAUAAAUGACGUCAAAAGUUUACCAGUACUUCUAAAAAUGGCGGCGCCCAUGUUAUAACAUGAUAGCGUGAAGAAAUGGUAUAAAAGAUACUUUCAAGGUGUAGAUGAGCAACAUUCACAUGGACCCGACUCAGUUAUAUCGAUGUAAGACCACGCAUUCAGCAGUUUUCAGCGGAAGAGGACGAAUGCAGGAUAAAUGCUGAUAAUUGUUCCGGUUAAAAUAAAAGCCGUUACGUUACGUACUUUGAUAUUACAGCUGGAGUGUUAUCACAAAUCACAUAUGUUCAUGAUGCAGCUACCUGAAAACACUAGGACCACGCUGUCUCGCAGAUUACAUUAACAAAUAUCUUGAGGCUGUCGAUAGUAGUACUUUCUAUCGACGUCCACUGCCAGGAUUGCCUGUAAGAUAUGGAAACCAAAACGUUGGAAUUAACAAAAUAAAAAUCUUCAUGAAAACCAUCGCAUCAAAAGGGGGUCUAACCGGUAAUUACACUGGACACUGUAAUAAGUGACAAGAAAACGUGCGUUACUUGGUUACAUGAUGCUAAUGUGGAUAUACAGGGAAAAAAAUAUCGAACUAGCCAUCGUUCUGACGAGGUAUUGAGGAAAUAUAAACGAGAAACUCCACAAGUGACUAUGCGAACUUCGGUUGUGAACUUGGUGGAAAAAGUGAUGAUAAAAUGCGUAGGGAUCGAAAUAUUUUUCAGAUAUUACUAACAAUAUGGGUUUGGCAUUUCAAAACUGUAUGUUUAACUUUUAACAGUCCGAUUAGUUGCUGCCAGUUUAUUCUAUGUACAUAGUUUUAAAAAAAGUUAAUUACUUUGAACCUGAUUUUUUUCAAUCAUGAGUGCACAACCUGUGAUGGUAAGAUAGUGCAGCCACAAGUAUCAAUGAAGCUAACGUUGCCAACGUCACAAAUAGUGAUCCCAGCAUAAAGACGUAUUACAUCACAGCAUUUUACGUUUACGUUGCUGAAGUCAACAUGAUUAGGAAACGUGUCACCAAAUACUAACGCCGAGAAAAUAUUCUCAAUAUUUGCUGUUCUGCUUGGUUGGCUGCUGAGUACUGCAAUCUUCGACGGUAACGUCUCUUUUAAAAUGAUGCGGGUGUAUCAGCGGACAGAUGACUACCAAGAAAAAAAAUUAAACACUUUCAUCAUCUUCCGAAGAAUCCUGCACACUGAUUGCAAGAGACCUUCCAACACAUCUGGGUGUGCACUUAUGGAACACGGUUUUAAAGAGUUUCCCGGAGUGCCUUCAAGCAAAUAUAUAACUUCAUUUGAACAGAAACUUGCUGAAUAAGUGCCCAGCGUUCCAGAAGGCAUUUACAGGAUAUCUUCGUGUCUUAUCUAUGCAGUACGCCCCCUGGUGACACAUUGCUACAUCCGGGUGAUAUACUGACAGCUCUCUAUCUGCAUGCAGUUCAUUGGAGAUUGUUACAGUAAAAUAUUUGGUACAGCG